UUCGGAGAGAUAAGUCGAGGGCUGUGGUCACAGAGGGGAUCGAAGCAGGGUAGUGGGUUAGGAUUCACACCGGUUAGGGUUUUGAGUCAGCUAUGGGGAGGGGGAGGUUUGAGAACUGGCCUCUGGGGCUACCGUGAGGGAAAGGCUCACUUUGGCUAACAAUGCUGAGGCGGGCAGGGCAGAGCAGUCCCAAGGUGUGUUGUCACUUGUCUGUCGUGCUUUCUGUGUCUUCCGUUCAUCUCGUGUAACACGUCUCUUGCCUUAGUCCUCCCCGGAGCUUAUGAGAAACCCCAGGUCCUUCCGGUCAUCUCCCAUCUUUGCGUUCCUCGGCCCGGGGCCGACGCCGGCGAAGUUUCGAUUCGGGAGGUCAGACAGGCGUCAGAAUCGCAUCUCUGUUCAGCAGCAUCCGAUCGGAUGUCUUUUUAGGUCUUGUUCUCAGCUGUGUUGACAGCUGUAUGCAGUCAUCUUUCUUUACAGUGGAUAAGGACUUGUGCCGAUUCAAAGGCAGGCAGAGGCUUCCAGCCACAGGAUUCUCAGGCAUCCGUGUCCGCGGUUCUCGGAAUAAGUCGUUCCGUUAGCAUCUUUUUCCCCCGGGGUCAUCCGAGCCCGGCGGGCUCGCCUUCGGUCCCAUCUCGGUCAUCUCGUUCAGCGUUUUCUUGGUCCUCGUGAGGACUUUCUCGUCUCAGAGAGUUUUCUCUCCCUGUCGUGUCCCCUCGUCUCACGUGUCACGGGUGUCUGGGGGUAUUCGGUCCGGAACUGCUCUGCCCUGCCGCCCGGCCCCGUUGCAGGUGUUCGAGGACAAGUCCCGGGCACUUGUAAUUGGAGACUCGUAAUACGGGCUGUAGUUGGAGUCUAGGUAGUAUUCUUAUGUUGGCAGAAGGUGUCUGGAGCUGUGAAGUUACCCUGCAGCACUUUGACUUUUUUCCUAACUUUCUUUCAGAUGCGGAUGGAUCAACCUCCCGGCAGAGCGCCUCGUCCCAGAUGAGGCGAUCCCCCUGAGAAGGGAGUAAAGCCGGAUAGCAGCAGUGAAGGCGAAGCAUUGUGAAGGCUGCCUCCUGAUGUUGUGCUGAGGCCCCCUCACUGACAUGCCAAGAGACCCGGUUUGCUUCUCCGGUGAGCCCCAGCAAAUGUUACCGGAGUCCGUGACGAAGCCUCGACCUCGUCCACCUGAAGGCGUGCCCCGCGACGACGGCGUCCGCCUCGGAGCGUGGCCGAAGCGUGCGGCCCGAGGACCCGGGCGUUCCUAAGAGACGGUGAUGAUACUUGUCUGAGACAACAGCCCGGCGAGAGAAGAACUUCCCAGACGGCGAGGUGGCUUCGUUUGGCCCCCGACCGGCCUCUCGCCGUGACUCACGUCUUCAGCCACCCGAGAGAUAAGCGGAGCCCGCAGAGGGGAUCAAAGCAGGGCGGCGGAUGCGGAUGGAUCGACCUCCCGGCAGAGCGCCUCAUCCCAGAUGAGGGGAUCCCCCCGAGAAGGAAGUAAAGCCGGAUAGCAGCAGUGAAGGCGAAGCAUUGUGAAGGUGGUCUACUUGCAAGAUAUCCCAGCCCAGGAUGCCAGAGGACAGGUUCCGUGCAGAGAGGCAGAGCCGAAGUUUGCGAUCGGCCGCACCGAAGCCGGCGCGGGGGACGUCUCGACGUACGCAUCCUAUCGAGGAUGGGUCUUGUCCUAUUACGUUACAAAAGGUCUCUGAUGCCUAUUUUCUGAGGAUCUACCAUUUGAUGUUGAGAAGCAGCAGUGAGAAGAUGUCUCGGGGCAUUUUGUUCAGCACAGUGUUUUAAAUAAGGGUUGCGGUCACUGUGUGAGUUAGAGUCUCCUGCUGUGUGUCAGGGCGUGUCUGUCUGUGAGAGUCGGUGGGUCUGGGUUUGCUUGUGUGUGUGUGUGUUGUGCGGUUCUAACCUUGUGUGUAUUGCUUUUGCUUUUCAGGACUUUAAAUUCACUUUUAAAUUUAGAAUAAAAAAUCCCCAGCUGGGGGGGUUUUUUUUUUUUCCCUCCCAGCUGGGGUUUUUUUUCCUCGGUCCCGGCUGGUCUGCGAGGCGACAGUCAUCGCCUAAGUUUGGGCACGGACCGGCCCCGGACCGGGGUUUUCGUCAGGCAGGCUGAUUUUUGAGGCCCCUGGGAACUGUGUUCCCGUGGGGUAGGAGGGGUGUGUGUGUGUGUGUGUUGUGUGGUUCUAACCUUGUGUGUAUUGCUUUUGCUUUUCAGGACUUUAAAUUCACUUUUAAAUUUAGAAUAAAAAAUCCCCAGCUGGGGGGGUUUUUUUUUUUUCCCUCCCAGCUGGGGUUUUUUUUCCUCGGUCCCGGCCGGUCUGCGAGGCGACAGUCAUCGCCUAAGUUUGGGCACGGACCGGCCCUGGACCGGGGUUUUCGUCAGGCAGGCCGAUUUUGAGGCUCCCGGGAACCGAGUUCCCGUGGGGUAGGAGGGGUGUGUGUUGUGCGGUUCUAACCUUGUGUGUAUUGCUUUUCAGGACUUUAAAUUCACUUUUAAAUUUAGAAUAAAAAAUCCCCAGCUGGGGGGGUUUUUUUUUUUUCCCUCCCAGCUGGGGUUUUUUUUCCUCGGUCCCGGCCGGUCUGAGAGGCGACAGUCAUCGCCUAAGUUUGGGCACGGACCGGCCCCGGACCGGGGUUUUCGUCAGGCAGGCCGAUUUCGAGGCUCCCGGGAACCACGUUCCCGAGGACCACCGCCAGCAGGGUUAUAACGGGGCGGUUGAGAGGAGAGCGAAGGUGAGCGUGUGUGUGAGCAGAAGCCGGCUUCU